rnacentral:lncRNA from 1 species
CCCUAAUCUCAAGAAGGAAUUCAACUCUGGGUCAUCUUUUUCCUCGGCAUCGCCCAACCUAGGAGGAUGAUCUAAAGAGGAGGCUCCAGGAGAUGCAACAACAGAUUGAUGCACUGCAAGCCCUGCAACGGCCAGAUGAUGACCUGAAAUUCAACAUUGACCCACCAUUCACUCGAUGGUUUAUGAAUGAGCCCCUUCCACCUUGAUAAGAUGCCCCA